AUGCCAGCGCCGACGGCCACACCGAUGGAAGGUGUCGAAGAAGCCAAGCUUAUGUUCUCCUCCAACAAUGAAGUAGCUUCCGAGGGUGCAGCCAACGCUGCCCUCCCAUGGGACACAACACUUCUCACGGAGUUUCCUCUUGUUCCCUCUGAAAGGAUGGACCAAGAUGGAGAAGCUCAAGCCCAGCAGGAGGCUGAAAAAGCGAAGGAAUCAACUGAGAAGAACCUUGCCUUGUGCGGUACUCUUGGAGUGCAGCCAAGCGAAGGGUCAAGUAAUGGAUGGCGAUCUCCUGCCAUCAUCGAGGAGUUCGACUAUCCUUCUGAAGAAGAGAUCAUGUCGAACCCAAAGGCAGACUUCUAG
rnacentral:rRNA from 1 species